rnacentral:rRNA from 1 species
UGGGGAAUAUUGCACAAUGGGCGCAAGCCUGAUGCAGCCAUGCCGCGUGUAUGAAGAAGGCCUUCGGGUUGUAAAGUACUUUCAGUCGGGAGGAAGGUGGUAAGGUUAAUAACCUUAUCAAUUGACGUUACCGACAGAAGAAGCACCGGCUAACUCCGUGCCAGCAGCCGCGGUAAUACGGAGGGUGCAAGCGUUAAUCGGAAUUACUGGGCGUAAAGCGCACGCAGGCGGUUGAUUGAGUCAGAUGUGAAAUCCCCGGGCUUAACCCGGGAAUUGCAUCUGAUACUGGUCAGCUAGAGUCUUGUAGAGGGGGGUAGAAUUCCAUGUGUAGCGGUGAAAUGCGUAGAGAUGUGGAGGAAUACCGGUGGCGAAGGCGGCCCCCUGGACAAAGACUGACGCGCAGGUGCGAAAGCGUGGGGAGCAAACAGG